rnacentral:rRNA from 1 species
AGCGAACGCUGGCGGCGUGCUUAACACAUGCAAGUCGAGCGAAGGUGCUUCAAGGGUAACCUUGAGAUACACUUAGCGGCGGACGGGUGAGUAAUACGUGGAUAACUUACCUCUAGGCCUGGGAUAACCCCGGGAACUGGGGCUAAUACCUGAUAAGACCACAUUGUCUACGGACAAAGGGGUAAAAGGUGGCUGUGCAAACAGCUAUCGCCAAAAGAUAGGUUCACGUCCCAUCAGGCAGUUGGUGA